AGGACGAACGCUGGCGGCGUGCUUAACACAUGCAAGUCGAACGAGGCCCUGCCUUCGGGCAGGUGACCUAGUGGCGAACGGGUGAGUAACACGUGGGCAACCUACCCUCAGCUCUGGGAUAACCCCGGGAAAACCGGAGCUAAUACCGGAUACGACCUGGAACGACAUCGUUCCUGGUGGAAAGUUUUUCGGCUGAGGAUGGGCCCGCGGCCUAUCAGCUUGUUGGUGGGGUAAUGGCCUACCAAGGCGACGACGGGUA
rnacentral:rRNA from 1 species